ACCUAUUAGCGUUAGAAGGUUGCUCCGAUAAAAUGAAGAAUGACAAAGAGAAGUAAAAACAAGAUUCAAUCGAAUAACCAUUGCGAUAAUAAUUCGUUGCAUUGAUCAGCAUAAUCCUAAACCAUCAUUUGAACUUACAAUUUCAGCGGCAGCUUUACAUUUUUCUAAAACAACUUCCUUGACGCUUCCUUGGAUUUCCGGUACUUUAAAACAUCAUGUUAGCGAUAAUUUGCUGUCGAGAAAAUUGAAUAGCUGCAUACAAUCGUAAUCAUGGUUUUUGAUUUCAAAUCGGUCACCAAGGAUAUUCUUUACAUCUGCCAGUUUAUGUUUAUUUCCUGUGACGAAUAAAAUAGACUGUAGUACUAUGGGACAGCAAUCUUGUUAGUUAUCAUUCCGCUGAAAAAUA